UACGUAGGGUGCGAGCGUUGUCCGGAAUUACUGGGCGUAAAGAGCUCGUAGGUGGUUUGUCGCGUUGUUCGUGAAAACCGGGGGCUUAACCCUCGGCGUGCGGGCGAUACGGGCAGACUGGAGUACUGCAGGGGAGACUGGAAUUCCUGGUGUAGCGGUGGAAUGCGCAGAUAUCAGGAGGAACACCGGUGGCGAAGGCGGGUCACUGGCCCGGUACUGACGCUGAGGCGCGAAAGCGUGGGGAGCAAACAGG
rnacentral:rRNA from 1 species